CUGUUGUCUGUAUGUCUCAGGAGAUG
rnacentral:piRNA from 1 species